GACGAACGCUGGCGGCGUGCUUAACACAUGCAAGUCGAACGGAAAGGCCCUGCUUUUGUGGGGUGCUCGAGUGCCGAACGGGUGAGUAACACGUGAGUAACCUGCCCUUGACUUUGGGAUAACUUCAGGAAACUGGGGCUAAUACCGGAUAGGAGCUCCUGCUGCAUGGUGGGGGUUGGAAAGUUUCGGCGGUUGGGGAUGGACUCGCGGCUUAUCAGCUUGUUGGUGGGGUAGUGGCUUACCAAGGCUUUGACGGGUAGCCGGCCUGAGAGGGUGACCGGCCACAUUGGGACUGAGAUACGGCCCAGACUCCUACGGGAGGCAGCAGUGGGGAAUAUUGCACAAUGGGCGGAAGCCUGAGGCAGCAACGCCGCGUGCGGGAUGACGGCCUUCGGGUUAUAAACCGCUUUCGCCUGUGACGAAGCGUGAGUGACGGUAAUGGGUAAAGAAGCACCGGCUAACUACGUG
rnacentral:rRNA from 1 species